CAUUCUUCCUCCAUUAUCUCACUGCCUCCGGUGGCUGCUGGGAUACCGGAGGACUCGGGUCCCGGCUCGACUCAGUCCUCCAGCCGCCCGGGGAAUACCUCUAGUUCUUCCCGGCCGCCGCCGCCUCCGCCCCGCCGCUUCCUCCUCCGCCUGCCGGCCUCCUUCGCCCCGCCCCGUCCGCGCAGCUCGUCCGGCCCGCCCGCAGGCCAGCUUCUCUCGGGAGCCUCCACCCAGGCGCAUGGCUCCAUGAAGCAAGAGGAGGAGGCAGAGCGCGAGAGAUCCCGUCCGCCCCAGCCGCGUCUGGGCCAGGAGAAAAGCAAAACCAUAUUCCUGCUGCUGUCAGUUUUGAUGCACUGAGAAAACUUCAGAGACCUAAGCUUUUUCCAGAGAAGAGAAGCUUUACUGGUGUUCCAGCCCUAAGAAACUUAAAUCCUCAGUGUGACACAACUCAGUCCUUCUACUGCAGCAGCUCUUUUAUAAAAGCCUCCCAAAGCUCCAAGAAGGAACAAAGAAUGUGACCCAGUAAGCUCACACCAUAAGUCUAUAUUGCAGAAACCUUUGUUCAACAAAACUGCAGAUGCUCUGUUGAAUCCACUGGAGAUUGUCCUGAUACUAAGGACAAGUAUGGGAAUUUCUACUUAUCUUAAAAACAUAUAUAGAUAUUGAUCUGCGGAGAAAUAUAUCUCUGUUAUUUCAAGGCUCAUAUGACAUUAACAGACAAGACACUUUUCAGAAAGACAGAAACUACUCUGAAAAACUCUCUUAAUGCUUUUUACGGCCGGGUGCGGUGGCUGGAGCCUGUAAUCCAAGCACUUUGGGAGGCCGAGGUGGGUGGAUCACCUGAGAUCUGGAGUUCGAGACCAGCCUGGCCAACAAGGUGAAACCCCACCUCUAUUAAAAAUACAAAAAUUAGCUGGGUGUGGUGGCACACACCUGUACUCCCAGCUACUUGAGAGGUUGAGGCAGGAGAAUCGCUUGAACUCGGGAGACGGAGGUUGCAGUGAGCCAAUAUUGCGCCAUUGCACUCCAGCCUGGGCAACAAGAGCGAAAUUCCAUCUCAAAAAAUAAAUAAAUAAAUAAAUAAAUAAAUAAAUAAAUAAAUAAAUAUUAA
rnacentral:lncRNA from 1 species